rnacentral:rRNA from 1 species
GAUGAACGCUGGCGGCGUGCCUAAUACAUGCAAGUCGAGCGGACAGAUGAUGAGCUUGCUCCUCGGACGUGAGCGGCGGACGGGUGAGUAACACGUGUAUAACCUACCUAUAUGACUGGUAUAACUUCGGGAAACCGGAUCUAAUACCGUAGAAGAUAUUGAACCGCAUUGGGCAAUAGUAAAAUACGGUGUUUCUGUCACUUAUAGAGGGAUCCGCGCCGCAUGAGAUAGUUGUUAAGGUAACGGCUUACCAAGGCAAGGAUGCGUAGCCGACCUGAGAGGGUGGUAGGCGACACUGGAACUGAGCCAGGGUCAAGACUCCUACGGGAGGCAGCAGUAGGCAAUGUUCGGCAACGGGCGAGAGCCUGACGGAACAACGGCGAGUGAGUGAUGACGGUCUUCGGAUCGUAAAAAUGUGUUACUAGGGAAGAACAAAUGUGUAAGUAACUAUGCACGUCUUGACGGUACCUAAUCAGAAAGCAACGGCUAACUACGUG